rnacentral:lncRNA from 1 species
CAAAAUCAUAAAUUCUUUUACGGUUCCAUAUCACGGCAAUUUCACUUAAUAGGGUUUAACCCUUUUUAACACUAAGCAGAAACUGAAAAAAAAGGGAUAGAAACUGCUGCGACGUCAAAAGACGGAGAACGAAUUCAGGUGACUCUUGUGUUGUUAAUGAUUUGUUCUUCUUUAGAAUUUGGUUUAGAAGUUGAUCAUAUAAUAUGGUGGUAAUGAUUACAAUUACAUUGAUUUGACAUAAUAAUAAUUUAAAAAAAAACAUAAUAUCAUUAAGAAUGGUGAAAUUGUGCACUGCUUCAUGAUUCCUAGUGCACCGUGUCAUGAUUUUAACAGAAAUUUAUAUACUAUUUCUUAGUUUCUAAUACUCAGUUUCACGGUUUUCUUAGAAACUCAAGAAUCAGUAUAUUUAUUUUCUUGUCGUUCUACAGUUAUAAUUUUAAUAAAAUUUAUGUUUUAGGUCUACGGUUCUUGGAAUAAGAGUUUACAAAAUGGGUCAUUAAAUUUGUAUUCUUACGUGAAUUAUAUAUUUGAACAAAUUUAAAUCAUCCGAAAGCUUUACGGAAGGGUAAGACCGUUGCAAAUUAGUUUGCAUUUGGAUUCUUCGAUUGAGGUAGGUUACGAUUUAAUUGGAGUUUAGACUCGACUUAAUUGUGUGUAUGCUCCUAAAUUGGAUACUUGUUGAUUGGUAUUCAGACAUAUUUGAAAUUGUUGAUAUUUGGAUUGUUAAUGCGUGUAUAAAUGAUUAUUGAAAAUUUACUUGAUGAAAUUGUCUUAUGACUUAAGUGUACUUGUAAACUCGGUACAUUGUGUUGUAUGCUGUGAUGUUGUGUAAAUUUGAUAGUGAUAAUAUAUGUAUAUAUUGGAUCAGGUACCACACCGGUACGAAUAUAUAUAUGUUGGAUCGGGUACCACACCGGUACGAAUAUGUUAUGUUGGAUCGAGUACCACGUCGGUACGGAUAUGUAAUGUUGGAUCGGGUACCACGCUGAUACGGAUAUGUAUAUUUUGGAUCGGGUACCAUGCCGGUACGGAUAUGUUAUGUUGGAUCGGUUACCACGCCGGUACGGAUAUGUAUAUGUUGGAUAGGGUACCACGUCGGUACGGAUAUGUAUAUGUUAGAUCGGGUACCACGCCGAUACAAAUAUGUAUAUGUUGGAUUGGGUACCACGCUGGUACGGAUAUGUAUAUAUUGGAUCGGGUACCACGCCAGUACGGAUAUGUAUAUGUUGGAUCGGGUACCACGCCGGUACGGUACAUGAACAUAGAUUGUUCCCUGCAGGUCAUUGACUAUUUGGGCAAAACAAGUCCCAUAGCAAGUGUGUACAUAUUUGUGUUGAUUCUGUGGAUAUUUACAGUAUAGUUGAUACUCUUGAUGGUUGUGUGAUUUGUCUGUGAGCACUAUUUGACCUGUUGUUAUUGUAUUAUUGAUUCAUUUAAUAUUUGUUAUGUGACGAUGCUUGUCUACUUGUUAUUUGAUUUAUGUUGUGUACAUGCUAUUAAAUUGAGUUGGCCUAUGAUACCUACCAAUACAUAUUGAUUUACUGAUACUAUCCUGUACUCUUUUUUUGUUGAGUGCAGAAAGUGUUCUAGAGGCUCAGACAUAAUCUCACCUCUAGAGUUUGAUAGCAGAUCUUGAUCCAAGGGUGAGCACUCUGUCUUCAGGCUACCAUGGGUCAUCCUAUUUGUUCUUAUCCAUCUUUCGGGCAAUGAAACAUUCUUUAUUUACUUUAUUUUUGAAUAUCUCUUUAGACAUGAUCUUUGUUAGUAGUUCUUGCGUGAUAACUUUCAGGUCUUGGAUAUUUUUGUAAGUAGUUUAUUGGAUUUUCACAUAAAUAAUGAUUAGUCCUAUAUUAUUGUUAUUAUGUUGAUUUUGUAAUAAAAUCAUCUUAAUAUUAAUUAAUAAUUCAAUUAUGAUUCUCCCACAGAAAAAUUAAUGUGGGUGUCAUUCAUGGCCAUUUGAGUCAUGAAAUUAUCCCAUAGUAUUAUUAAAAGAAGACAAGAAAACAAGUUAGUGUCAAUUAUUGAAGAAUAAUCCCAUCUUAUUCCAAAGUGGAAAUGUGUAUAAGCAUUGUUCUAAAAAGCUCGACAUAACCAUCCAAAAGAGGAAAAUUAUUUUAUUUACUCUUGAUA